GUUUUGUAUAGCUAUCUAAAAAACUUGGCGAGUAAUAGGCUUGCAAGUGUGGUGAACUGGAAUAUCGCAAGUUUAGGUAGACCCCACCUUAUUAAUUAAAUUAAAUUAAAUUAAAUAUCCAGGCUCUGAUAUCCAUCCAUCGUACAACCAACCCGAUUCAUAAUUACUCGUACAUGUAAACGCAAUAAAAGAAACAUCUCAAGUGUGUCCAGUUAGAGUACUGUUUUAAAUAAUGAAGAGCAUAUUUUUACAAUAGCUGUGAAUCACUUUUCUACAUAACUUUUCAUGUGUUUGUAGGUUUGCUGACGUCAGUAUUUUACUUGGGAACUUUUU